ensembl:lncRNA
UGGGCGAGUUGACAAAUCAUAAAAAGAAUGGUAUAAAAAAACAGCACUUUGCCCGUUAAAUUAAGUCAUAAAGCAUCGCAAUAACGUUUUCCGACGGCCCUGCUGUAGACUACCUAUCUGUUGCAUUUCUACUCUGCCACGUGGAAGGUCGCUUUAAGUUUUCAAAAAAGAAGACGCAAGUUUUCACGAGGGGCACAAUGACAGAAAAAAUACGAUAAAGCGAAGUGUCUGUCUAUGCUCGCGCCUCAUCCGCCUGCGGGGAGACCAGACACCUGCACCCAAGCGUCGCACUUUGCUUUCGUUCUCGUUUGAAAGGAACAUUAUGCAAGUUUGACUUCUCUUAUUUGAACCCGAUGGCUGAAUCUUGGUGAUGCGGAGACCUCCCAAACACCCCAGAGCUUCCUGCCCUGCUUUGCUGAUGCUGCAACGGUAACCUGGGACUUCCCUACAUCCUACUUUCGUAACAGGCUGAUCUCACGCCAGGCCAUCGCAUUGCUCUUCAAACCACAAAUAGCCUACAACAGCUAUGUGCAGACAGUGACCUCUUCUGGUAGAAUGAAGACAAGUUGAAUGACCUCAUACACACUGAACAAAACACUAAAUUGCUCCCCCC